rnacentral:lncRNA from 1 species
UAAUGGUGGACGGUGGAGGUGGUAUUCCUAUCGCAUUUGUGAUUUCACUCUAAAUAGGAAGACAUCGGCGCUGGAUUGUUACACAACUGUUGCACCAGUGAAGGAUGUCUGUGUGCCGCCUUGCAUUCAGUUUCUGAGCCAUGAGGGCCUGCUUGCAACACAAGUGGCAAAGCAGUCUUGCGUUGUGCUAUUUGUUCUGAUGCAUCCAAAAGAUAAAUGAUGUUAUGUUUUUCCUGUGGC